AUGGUGCAAUUUCCUAGCUUAUACAAGAUUGUCAGACAUAAAUUCGUCACAAUCAAGCAUGUUUUGGGACAAGAAAACUUUGAUAUUUCUUUUCAAAGGGACCUUUUUGGGCCUCGCCUGGUAGCAUGGAAUGAAUUACUCAUUCGUCUGGAGGCCAUUCAGCUGUCACGCAAACCAGACAAGUUUCGAUGGAAUUUGCAUCAGAACGGCAGCUUUCUAGUCAAAUCCUUGUAUGAUGCAUUGGUUCAUAGUGAUGUUCCGGAUGAUAACAAGAAAUUGUGGAAGCUCAAAAUUCCUCUAAGAGUGAAGUUAUUCCUCUGGUUUCUAAACAGAGGGGUCAUCUUAACUAGAGAUAACCUGGCACGAUGAUGGCAAGGUAACAAAACAUGUGUCUUUUACAAGCAUGACGAGUCCAUUAAACACUUAUUUUGUAAGUGUAAAUCUGCUCGUGCAGUCUGGACCAUAGUUCAAGUAGCUUCAAAUCUAUAUCCCCACGUAGUGCGAGUAACAUGUUCAGCAAUUGGUUGCAGGUAG
rnacentral:rRNA from 1 species